GCACAGAUACCAUACCCAAGACAAGUUCCUUCGCCCGUUUCUCCAACAUGUCUAUACAGCACGUACAAAAUGCAAUGGCAAUGGGCAAGGAUCGCCUCGUUGGGAAAAUCACUAGUUUUAGCAAAUCCUGGAAAAAGAUUAAGCACAGUUUGAGCUGGAAAUCUGCAGGAGAGCAGAGCAAGCCCUUUUCUUCUGUGUGCGUUGUGGAGCAUGAGACUUACAGAGCAAUCGGGGGAAAUUAGAGAAUUGCUACCUUCCAGAUUCAAAGCAAUGAUUUUACUACUUGUGAAGGAUUACGAAAAAUUACUGGAAGAUUUACAAGAGGUCUCUGCAGUAUUUAUCUAGAAGCCAAGUAUAAUAUUGUUUUUCCAAACCCAUCAACCAACACAACUUAAUCCUGACUCAAAAGAGCUGCAUUAUUCUUUCCUUAGCCUGUGUGAUUACAGCUUCUGUACCUUUUUUGUCAAUAAAAGUUGGAUUAGUCGCAAUAGCAC